UACGUAGGGGGCAAGCGUUGUCCGGAAUCAUUGGGCGUAAAGCGCGUGUAGGCGGUCCGGUAAGUCGGCUGUGAAAGUCCAGGGCUCAACCCUGGGAUGCCGGUCGAUACUGCCGGACUAGAGUUCGGAAGAGGCGAGUGGAAUUCCCGGUGUAGCGGUGAAAUGCGCAGAUAUCGGGAGGAACACCAAUGGCGAAGGCAGCUCGCUGGGACGUUACUGACGCUGAGACGCGAAAGCCAGGGGAGCAAACGGG
rnacentral:rRNA from 1 species